rnacentral:rRNA from 1 species
UACAGAGGGGGCAAGCGUUGUUCGGAAUUACUGGGCGUAAAGGGCGCGUAGGCGGCCCUCUUUGUCGCGUGUGAAAGCCCCGGGCUCAACCUGGGAAUUGCGCUCGAGACUGGUCUGCUUGAGUUCGGGAGAGGAGAGUGGAAUUCCCAGUGUAGAGGUGAAAUUCGUAGAUAUCGGGAGGAACACCGGUGGCGAAGGCGGGUCUCUGGGCCGAUACUGACGCUGAGGAGCGAAAGCGUGGGGAGCGAACAGG